GCUCUUUUGUAGCUCAGCUGGUUAGAGCACCCGUUUAAAAAGCGGAGGUCUUGAGUCUGACUCUCAACAAGAGCA